AGUGAACGCUGGCGGUAGGCUUAACACAUGCAAGUCGAACGGCAGCACAGUAAGAGCUUGCUCUUACGGGUGGCGAGUGGUGGACGGGUGGGGAAUAAAUCGGAAUCUACUUUUUCGCGGGGGAUAACGAAGGGAAACUUACGCUAAUACCGCAUACGACCUACGGGUGAAAGCAGGGGAUCUUCGGACAUUGCGCGCUUGAAUGAGGCGAUGUCGGCGUAGCUAGUGGGCGGGGUAGAGGGCCACGACGGCGACGAUCCGUAGCGGGUGUGAGAGGAUGAUCAGCCACGCUGGCACUGGGACAGGGUCCAGGCGCCGACGGCGGGGAGAAGUGGGGAAUAGUGGUCAAGGGGCGCGAGCCUGAUCCAGCCGUACCGCGUGGGUGAAGAGGACCUUGGGGUUGUAAAGCCCUUUUGUUGGGAAAGGAAAGCAACAGGUUAAUUCCCCGCUGUUCUGACGGUACCCGAAGAAUAAGCACCGGCUAACUUCGUG
rnacentral:rRNA from 1 species